rnacentral:rRNA from 1 species
UACGGAGGGUGCAAGCGUUAUCCGGAUUCACUGGGUUUAAAGGGUGCGUAGGUGGGCAGGUAAGUCAGUGGUGAAAUCUCCGGGCUUAACCCGGAACUGCCGUUGAUACUAUCUGUCUUGAAUAUAGUGGAGGUGAGCGGAAUAUGUCAUGUAGCGGUGAAAUGCUUAGAUAUAACAUAGAACACCCAAUUGCGAAGGCAGCUCGCUACACUAUCAUGACACUGAGGCACGAAAGCGUGGGGAUCAAACAGG